rnacentral:misc_RNA from 1 species
AACGCACAUUGCGCCCUUUGGUAUUCCUUAGGGCAUGCCUGUUCGAGCGUCAUUUAACCCCUCAAGCACUGCUUGGUGUUGGGCGCUUGUCCCGCCCCCGGCGCGGACUCGCCUCAAAAUCAUUGGCGGCCUGUGUAUUGGCUACGAGCGCAGCAGAUUUCGCGUCUCGCACCCGGCACGUAGGCGUCCAGCAAGCCUCACCCAGUUUUGACCUCGGAUCAGGUAGGGAUACCCGCUGAACUUAA